CCUACGGGAGGCAGCAGUGAGGAAUAUUGGUCAAUGGACGGAAGUCUGAACCAGCCAUGCCGCGUGCAGGAAGACGGCUCUAUGAGUUGUAAACUGCUUUUGUACAAGGGUAAACCUGAAUACGUGUAUUCCGCUGAAAGUACUGUACGAAUAAGGAUCGGCUAACUCCGUGCCAGCAGCCGCGGUAAUACGGAGGAUCCAAGCGUUAUCCGGAUUUGUUGGGUUUAAAGGGUGAGUAGGCGGAUUGAUAAGUUAGAGGUGAAAUGGCCGAGAGUAACUCGGGAACUGCCUCUAAUACUGUUGAUCUAGAGAGUAGAUGCGGUAGGCGGAAUGUAUGGUGUAGCGGUGAAAUGCUUAGAGAUCAUAAAGAACACUGAUGGCGAAGGCAGGUUACCAAUCUAUAUCUGACGUUGAGGCACGAAAGCGUGGGGAGCAAACAGGAUUAGAUACCCUUGUAGUC
rnacentral:rRNA from 1 species